CACAUGACUCAUUUCAGCUUGCAUAAGUUACUAUAACCCUAUCGACAGAGACAUUUCCGGUAGAUAACUAGUAUUUGCUUCGGAUACCGGAUAGCUGUUGGAAACAUCUUAAUAUCGUUUUAGAGAAAAACUUAUUUCUUCAAACUGCGAGCGUGGCUUGGUAAUAAAAACAACCUGAUGGGACAGAGACUAACAGGGAUGGUGCGGUCAAAACGGGAGCGUUCUGGCGCUGAGCCACAGAGCAGUGAGCCCUCUGGACGCGGAGAACCAGCAUCAAGAUUACAUUCUACGGAAAUAACUAAAGAGGACGUCAAUUUGCCGAAGAUUUUCAAGGGGAGGCUGGCUUUUGUCCUGCAUAACGUAUUCACAGCUGAAGAGUGUACGAAAUAUAUAGAAGAUUCGGAGAACAGAGGAUACGAAUUGGCCUUAGUCAACACUGGCGUAGGAAGCCAGGUGAAAGCUACAGACGUACGAAACAGUUCCAGAAAUAUAUGGGAUUCUAAGAAGGAGGCCAAGAAAAUAUUGAAGAGGAUUAGAGACUAUCUACCCGAAACAUGGAAUGGAGGGAAACUUGUAGAACUAAAUGAAAGACUACGGUUUCUGCGGUAUGACCCCGGGGAAUAUUUCAAACCUCACAUGGACGGAAGUUACAAACGAGACAAUGGCGACGAAAGUCAGAUCACCGUCUUUAUAUAUUUGAAUGAAGGAUUUGUAGGAGGCAGUACAACAUUUUUAAGCCUUUUUGACAGUGAUGAUAGCAGGGAGGAGGUCGUCCCUAAAACUGGAAUUCAAAAUUAAGAGUUGGGCAAACACGGAUCCCUGGAUAUACCAGAGGUGGGAUCAGGUGCCGAGGAGAAAUAAGCAUUUCCUGUCGACCGAUCACACCCGUCGUGAGACCUAUGUCUUAAUUGAUCAGGAUCAGUGUUGAUUUUCCAACAUAACAUUGUUCAUGAAGGAUCCGAACUGAUCAAAGGCCGGAAGUACGCCAUUCGGACGGAAGUUAUGUACAAAGACCGGAACAGCUAAAUGUAAAUCGGUACCGCUACACAGAUCGUCAGCCACGAGGAAACGCUGCCCAUUAGCGAGUACAUAAGAGCUAAUGAACUGCUGCAUGCUGCAUUUCUCUGUUUAAUACUGUUUGUAGACUCUAUUUGUAUAUCGAAAAUAUUGUCCCUUGUUAGUUUCGUAUUCCAAAAUUACUCCUUUUCAGGUUGCCUCAGUUUCCCUACACUUUAUUGCUGUGUUUUAGAGAAAGGAGUAUAUUUCAAUUUCUUAUUUUAAGGCACAUGUAGCUCAUCACAUCAAGACUUACACAUUUUAUGACACUAUGUCACAGGUUGAUUCAAAUGUUUUGUAAAAUCGAUUUCGAUUUGUUUGUGUACGUGGCUCAGUGGAUAAGGAAUCGGAUUACUGAAGGAAGAUCCCGAGUUCAAGUCCGGCCAGUGUCGUCUGUGUUAUCGUUUUGAAUAAUUCUUUGAAAAUCAUGGUUUCGCCUUCGAAAAUUGCAUGGGGGGGGGGUGGGGUGACAAUUGUACUUAUUAUAUAUACGUUGUUUUAAUGUUAUUGGUAAUCCUGAAAUGAAUGUACAUGUUAUACGUAAGAGUUAUCUAAUAAUGAUGUAAAGGGGUUUAACCGGUAAAAUCACUGUGCAAUACAUGCGAUUUUCAAAAGAAGUAUUUCAGUGUGUAUUAAAAGGUUGUUGCGCUUUUCAUGUCAGCGUUGUUUUUCUUUGUACUCUGUAUGGAGUAAAAUACAUCUGUACGUAAAAGUGGAACACUGUUCUUUAUGUAGAAUGUCUGGAUAGAGAUUAUGUGAAUGUUACAUGAUUUGUUGUUAGCUAAAACUGUUCAUAUUUUGUUAUUUUCAUAACGCUUCUGUGAUAUGAGAUUGUUCUUGAUAAACAAGAAUUUAUGUACUUACCUGCUUACUGUAAUACAUGUAUGUCACGAAAUAAAACAGAAUGAGUUACUGUAAUACCUGUAUGUCAAGAAAUAAAACAAAAUGAGUUACUGUAAUGCAUGUAUGUCACGAAUUUAAACAGAAUGAGCUACAUGUAUGUCACGAAAUAAAACAGAAUGAGUUACUGUAAUACAUGUAUGUCACGAAAUAAAACAGAAUGAGUUACUGUAAUACAUGUAUGUCAAGAUAUAAAACAGAAUGAGUUACUGUAAUACAUGUAUGUCAAGAUAUAAAACAAAAUGAGUUACUGUAAUACAUGUAUGUCACGAAAUAAAACAGAAUGAGUUACUGUAA